GGCGCUAUAGCCAAGUGGUUACGGCGACAGAUUAGAAUCACGUUGGAUCAUCUGUUUCCCUUCGGGAGCGCAGGUUCGAGUCCUGCUGGCGUCG